CCUUCCUGCGGCGGCCGCCACCAGCCGGAAUAGCAACCGGCGGAGCCCGUGCGCACCGCAGCGCAGCGCAGCGGCCGGGGGGUGCGGGCGCCCUCGCCGCCCGGCUACCUACCGCCGCCUGGGCGCCGCCGCUGCCUCCCUUCCCCGCUUCUACCCUCCAGCAGACGCCCGCCGGAGCGACCCCUCCCAGGGUGACCGGGGGAAGGUGUUCCACGUGGCCAUAGCGUUUGCGUCACAAUGACCUGGCGGACAGGUGGGAGCCACAGCGUACACCCCAGGGUUCCCUCUGUGCUGUGCGUAGUGCCUACUGCUUGCUUCCAGGUUAAAUUUCUGUAGCUUUAGAGGACAGGAGACUUCAUGACUUCACUGCCAAGAAAAGUUACAGAGGCCUGCUGUACCUGGAAAUCAAGUUUGAGCUUCGAGAAUAAAGGUCAUGUUUUAAAAACAGCUGUGUAUGUAUAGGAAAGAACCAAACCAUUGUUUCUAGAGACCCUGCAGUAUACAGAUCACAGGAAGAAAAAGUGUUGGCAUAGCUGCUUCCUAAUAUUAUCUAUGUGGAAAUGAAACCUCAAUGUAGUAUGACUUCAUCCCUAGUUAUGUUAUACAUUUAUAAAUAAGUUCAUUCAGUCGUCGCUGAAACAAUUUAAAAGGGCCGAAUGAUAGUUAUUGAGUAAUGAUGCUGACGAAUCAGAAAUCCUGCGCUAACAUGGAUGGAGUGCUAGCUCUAUGUCCGGCACAUGCUGUAUGCUUUAUAUUUAAUCCUUACAGCAACCCAAUACUGUAGAUAAAAUCAUUAUCCCGAUUUCACAGAUGAAGACACUGCCCAGAGUGCCAUAAAGAGAUUAUUGAGCAGGGAUUUGAAUCUGAACCAGGAGACUUAGCUUAAUCUCAAGAUAGCAUGGUGUCUUGCCAGAAUGGAUGGAGAAAAAGUAUAGAAUAUGUUGACAUUUUAAUAGAAAGAUAAUAAGAUACCUCCAGAAAUUUACAUAACCUUUAAAGUUAUUCUUUGGGGAUUCUGUUUGUCAUAGAUUUGAGCCUGUCCUAGUCUUAACACGAAUUUUGGAGCUGAGUAAACAUCUCCUUAGUAAGUGUGUAUGAGUAAACAAAUCAUGAAUAUGGUCUACAAAAUAGCAAAUUGUUGAAAAGCUAAGAUUCAGGAGAAAUUUUCAGAGAGAAAAGCAUUGCUUAUAUAUAUUUGGCUUUUAUAAAAAAAAAUUCAAACUAACGUGUUAACAACGCAAGCCAAAUGAUUUUGCUGUAAGAAAAAAAACCCAAAGCCUUUAAAAUGAGAAAGUCUUCCUUACAAAAGAAAGAUGAUUAAGAUAUGUUAAGAUACAUUGAUUCCAAGAACUGUAAAUUUAUGUGUAAAAAGCUAUUAUCGGGAGUUAAAAGGAUAAAGAGAUUAUUAUUCUUUAACAGAAUGAAGUGCCGUAAUGAACAUCAU
rnacentral:lncRNA from 1 species